rnacentral:rRNA from 1 species
GAUGAACGCUGGCUACAGGCUUAACACAUGCAAGUCGAGGGGAAACGACGGGGAAGCUUGCUUCCCCGGGCGUCGACCGGCGCACGGGUGAGUAACGCGUAUCCAACCUGCCUCUGACUGAGGGAUAACUCGUCGAAAGUCGGCCUAAUACCUCAUGGCAUCGUCUGCGGGCAUCCAACGACGAUUAAAGAUUUCAUCGGUCAGGGAUGGGGAUGCGUCUGAUUAGCUUGUUGGCGGGGUAACGGCCCACCAAGGCGACGAUCAGUAGGGGUUCUGAGAGGAAGGUCCCCCACAUUGGAACUGAGACACGGUCCAAACUCCUACGGGAGGCAGCAGUGAGGAAUAUUGGUCAAUGGGCGGAAGCCUGAACCAGCCAAGUAGCGUGCAGGAAGACGGCCCUAUGGGUUGUAAACUGCUUUUAUGCGGGGAUAAAGUGAGGGACGUGUCCUUCAUUGCAGGUACCGCAUGAAUAAGGACCGGCUAAUUCCGUGCCAGCAGCCGCGGUAAUACGGAAGGUCCGGGCGUUAUCCGGAUUUAUUGGGUUUAAAGGGAGCGUAGGCCGUGGAUUAAGCGUGUUGUGAAAUGCAGGUGCUCAACGUCUGCACUGCAGCGCGAACUGGUCCACUUGAGUGUGCGCAACGCAGGCGGAAUUCGUCGUGUAGCGGUGAAAUGCUUAGAUAUGACGAAGAACUCCGAUUGCGAAGGCAGCUUGCGGGAGCACAACUGACGCUGAAGCUCGAAAGUGCGGGUAUCGAACAGG